rnacentral:rRNA from 1 species
UAUUGGAGGCCCUGCCUGCCCAGUGCCAUCGUUAAACGGCCGCGUUAUCCUGACCGUGCAAAGGUAGCAUAAUCAUUUGUUCUCUAAAUAAGGACUUGUAUGAAUGGCCACACGAGGGUUCUACUGUCUCUUACUUCCAAUCAGUGAAAUUGACCUUUCCGUGAAGAGGCGGAAAUAAACUAAUAGGACGAGAAGACCCUAUGGAGCUUUAACUAACUAGUCUAAGGAAAAUAAAUAUAACCAUCAAGGGAUAACAACACUCUUAAUAGACUAGCAGUUUUGGUUGGGGUGACCUCGGAGAACAAAAAAUCCUCCGAACGAUCUUAAAGACUAGACUAACAAGUCAAAUCACACUAUCGCUUAUUGAUCCAAAGAAAUUUGAUCAACGGAACAGGUUACCCUAGGGAUAACAGCGCAAUCCUAUUCAAGAGUCCAUAUCGACAAUAGGGUUUACGACCUCGAUGUUGGAUCAGGACACCCAGAUGGUGCAACCGCUAUCAAAGGUUCGUUUGUUCAACGAAUAAAGUCCUACGUGAUCUGAGUUCAAACCGGAG